UGUAAGCGUAUACCAAAGUUGUUGCAGUUACAACGCUCGUAGUCGGAAUUUGGCAGUUCCGGAUGUGUGCACGUCGUGUGCGCACUUCGCGGGGAUUGCUUUUGUGGUCUUGCGUAGGAUGAGGCACUUUUAUUAGUGAACGUCCUCACGCAACCACUUUUUACUGUGAGAAAAUCAGAGUGCUCAAAGCAGGCAUUUGCCGUGAAUGUAUUAGCAUGGAAUAAUAGAAUAGGACUUGGUUCUAUUUUGUUGGUUUGUUGGGACUGAGUAAUGAUUAAGAGGGACAGUUGGGGGCAUUUGUAUUUCGGUGCUAGAGGUGAAAUUCUUAGAUUACCGAAAGACAAACUGCUGCGAAAGCGUCUGCCAAGGAUGUUUUCAUUGA
rnacentral:rRNA from 1 species